CCUCAGGGGUCCCCGUGUCCAUUUUGGGGCUCCCCGUGUCCAUUUCGGGGCUCCCCGUGUCCAUUUCGGGGGUCUCGUGUCCAUUUCGGGGCUCCCCGUGUCCAUUUUAGGGCUCCCCGUGUCCAUUUCGGGGGUCCCGUGUCCAUUUUAGGGCUCCCCGUGUCCAUUUUGGGGCUCCCCGUGUCCAUUUUGGGGGUCCCUGUGUCCAUUUUGGGGGUCCCCGUGUCCAUUUUGGGGCUCCCCGUGACCAUUUCAGGGCUCCCCGUGUCCAUUUGGGGGGUCUCGUGUCCAUUUCGGGGCUCCCCGUGUCCAUUUCAGGGCUCCCCGUGUCCAUUUCGGGGUUCCCCGUGUCCAUUUUAGGGCUCCCCGUGUCCAUUUUGGGGCUCCCCGUGUCCAUUUUGGGGCUCCCCGUGUCUAUUUAGGGAGUCCCGUGUCCAUUUUGGGCUCCCCGUGUCCAUUUUGGGGCUCCCGUGUCCAUUUUGGGGGUCCCCUUGCCCACCCUGUGCCCCCCCUGACCCCCACGGGUGUCCUGCGAGUCCCCAGGUUUGUCCUGGGGGGUUCCCUCGUGUCCAUCUGGGGGGGCUUGGGGGGUCCCCAAAUCCAUCCCGGGGGUCCCCAAAUCCAUCCCAGAGGGUCCCCAAAUCCAUCCCGGGGGUCCCCACGUCCUCAGGGGUCCCCGUGUCCAUCCUGUCCCCCCCGAUGUCCCCCGGUGCCCCCCACGUCCAUCCCUGUCCCCCCCCCCUCCCCCUCCGGGGGCUCUUUUUACCCAAAAGAUCCCCAUUUUGGGGUGUUUUUUUUAGGCAAAUAAAACUCUUUUUGUAGCAAA